rnacentral:sRNA from 1 species
AUUCUGCCCAUGCGGGGAAGGAUGAGAAGCUUCGACCAAGGUUCGACUCGAGCGCCAGCGAGAGAGCGUUGCCGCAGGCAACGACCCGAAGGGCGAAGCGCAUCCGACAACUCACCCCGCACCGUGCCCAU